rnacentral:rRNA from 1 species
UACGUAGGGGGCUAGCGUUGUCCGGAAUCAUUGGGCGUAAAGCGCGUGUAGGCGGCCCGAUAAGUCCGCUGUGAAAGUCCAGGGCUCAACCCUCGGAUGCCGGUGGAUACUGUCGGGCUUGAGUACGGAAGAGGCGAGUGGAAUUCCUGGUGUAGCGGUGAAAUGCGCAGAUAUCAGGAGGAACACCAAUUGCGAAGGCAGCUCGCUGGGACGUUACUGACGCUGAGACGCGAAAGCGUGGGGAGCAAACAGG